rnacentral:rRNA from 1 species
UACGAAGGGGGCUAGCGUUGCUCGGAAUCACUGGGCGUAAAGCGCACGUAGGCGGAUCUUUAAGUCAGGGGUGAAAUCCUGGAGCUCAACUCCAGAACUGCCUUUGAUACUGGGGAUCUCGAGUCCGGGAGAGGUGAGUGGAACUCCGAGUGUAGAGGUGAAAUUCGUAGAUAUUCGCAAGAACACCAGUGGCGAAGGCGACUGUCUGGGGUAUUGCUGACGCUGAGGCACGAAAGCCAGGGGAGCGAACGGG